GAUGCGUCCUUGUCGAGUCGGGUUGCUUGGGAUUGCAGCUUGAAGUGGGUGGUAAAUUCCAUCUAAAGCUAAAUACUGGCGAGAGACCGAUAGCGAACAAGUACCGUGAGGGAAAGAUGCAAAGAACUUUGAAAAGAGAGUCAAAGAGUGCUUGAAAUCGGUAGGAGGAAACCCGGAUGGGCCCGGCUUCGGCGUCGCGACUCAGCCCCCUGCUCGGGGGGGUGCACUUUGCGCCGCCGGGUCAGCCGCCGCUCUGGCCGCGGUACAACUGGGGAGCAGGGCUUCGGCGAGCUCCCCUCCUGCCGCGCCCGGGGCGCCGUCUGACGGAACGGGCCCCUCCGACCCGUCUAGAAACACGGACCAAGGAGUCUGACACGUGUGCGAGUACCCGGGUGGCAAGCCCGCGUGCGGAAUGAAAGUGAAGGGCAUGCCCUGCCAACCGACCUUGACCUUCUGUGAAGGGUUUGAGUGGAGCACACCUGUCGGGACCCGAAAGAUGGUGAACUAUGC
rnacentral:rRNA from 1 species